AAUAACGGGACCUUUGAUUG
rnacentral:misc_RNA from 1 species